rnacentral:rRNA from 1 species
UACGAAGGGGGCUAGCGUUGUUCGGAAUCACUGGGCGUAAAGCGCACGUAGGCGGAUGUGCCAGUCAGGGGUGAAAUCCCGGAGCUCAACUUCGGAACUGCCUCUGAUACAGCACGUCUUGAGUCCGGAAGAGGUGGGUGGAAUUCCUAGUGUAGAGGUGAAAUUCGUAGAUAUUGGGAAGAACACCGAUGGCGAAGGCAGCCAUCUGGACCGACACUGACGCUGAGGCGCGAAAGCGUGGGGAGCAAACAGG